UGCCUGUGGAGAUGUGUACCCACUCUGGCC
rnacentral:piRNA from 1 species